CCCCGGCGAGGGGAGUGAAAAAGAACCUGAAACCGUGUACGUACAAGCAGUGGGAGCACCUUCGGGUGUGACUGCGUACCUUUUGUAUAAUGGGUCAGCGACUUAUAUUCUGUAGCAAGGUUAACCGUAUAGGGGAGCCGCAGGGAAACCGAGUCUUAACUGGGCGUUAAGUUGCAGGGUAUAGACCCGAAACCCGGUGAUCUAGCCAUGGGCAGGUUGAAGGUUGGGUAACACUAACUGGAGGACCGAACCGACUAAUGUUGAAAAAUUAGCGGAUGACUUGUGGCUGGGGGUGAAAGGCCAAUCAAACCGGGAGAUAGCUGGUUCUCCCCGAAAGCUAUUUAGGUAGCGCCUCGUGAACUCAUCUUCGGGGGUAGAGCACUGUUUCGGCUAGGGGGUCAUCCCGACUUACCAACCCGAUGCAAACUACGAAUACCGAAGAAUGUUAUCACGGGAGACACACGGCGGGUGCUAACGUCCGUCGUGAAGAGGGAAACAACCCAGACCGCCAGCUAAGGUCCCAAAGUCAUGGUUAAGUGGGAAACGAUGUGGGAAGGCACAGACAGCCAGGAUGUUGGCUUAGAAGCAGCCAUCAUUUAAAGAAAGCGUAAUAGCUCACUGGUCGAGUCGGCCUGCGCGGAAGAUGUAACGGGGCUA
rnacentral:rRNA from 1 species